CCCAUUGCCAGCAACCCCAGAUAUACCACACUGCCAAAUGACUGAGGAUCUAUCAUUAUCCUGGAAUCUUGAAUAAUGACAAAUCCUCAGUCAUGUGGCAGUGUGGUAUAUGUGGCAUUGCUGGCAGUGGA